CCCCUCCCCCACGCCGCCGUCCGGCCGCCAGGGUCUCGGCGGUCCCUCGCUCGGCCAGGGAGGGGGCC
rnacentral:precursor_RNA from 1 species